rnacentral:lncRNA from 1 species
GGUCCAGACACGUCUAAAUGCUGUUUUUUUUUAAUGGCUUAAAUUUGUUUGUUUGUUUGUUUAGGUAAUCUCUACACCCAAUGUAGGGCUUGAGCUCACAACUCCGAGAUCAAGAGUUGCAUGCUCUUCCGACUGAUACUAGUUUUGACUCAGUAAGGGCCCACUACAUCCAAUCAUAGAGAAGUUUGCUGACCCCUUUUCUAGAAGUUGGCUCAAAUCCGCUAAUAGCAUCUACAGAAGAAAAAUCAUUGUGGUCCAGGUAAAGAUUAUUACCAAGAGAAGUUAUAUGAGUAGAGAAAGUAAAGUUUUCAUUUAGGAAAACAGGUUUGGCCAUAAAUUGAUAAUCACUGAAGCUGGUUAUGGAUACUUGUGGGUUCCUUAUUUGUAUGCCAUCUAAUUUUGUUUUUGGAAAACUCCAUAAUAAAAGUUUUUGAAG